CGGACGGGUGAGUAACACGUGGGCAACCUGCCCUGAAGCGGGGGAUAACAUCUGGAAACAGGUGCUAAUACCGCAUAACAACGAAAACCACAUGGUUUUCGUUUCAAAGAUGGUUUCGGCUAUCACUUCAGGAUGGGCCCGCGGUGCAUUAGCUAGUUGGUAAGGUAACGGCUUACCAAGGCGACGAUGCAUAGCCGAGUUGAGAGACUGAUCGGCCACAUUGGGACUGAGACACGGCCCAAACUCCUACGGGAGGCAGCAGUC
rnacentral:rRNA from 1 species